ensembl:lncRNA
UAACAUUUAACUUCUAAACAAUGAGCUGCCUCUGGGUAGAUAAGGUAGUAGCUGCUAGUACACGAACAUUUACUGAGCACUUAAUAGGUGCCCCACAUUGAACUAAGUCUCAACUAAAGUCUCAACUUUCCAGAACAGUGGCACAGGGUAGGUAUUGGUGCCAUUUUCAAUUUGCAAGGGAGAAAAGAUUUACAUAAGUUGUUGUAAUUAUUCCAAGACCAAACAGUAAAUGACAAUGGAAUUUAAAUUCCCACCUCUGUUGGCUAGCAUCUGAGGUUCCAAUGACUCUUGUAUUUUGCUUUGCCUUCCACCCGCAGCCAAAAUUCUGUGUACCUGUAAUUACACUGAGAGUUAUAUUGAGGAUGGUUCUGUUGUGCUUUAUCAAGGUGCCUGAGGCCUAGAUGAAGAGAUUGGCAUGGAGUGCCUUGACUUGGCCCUUCACUUGUGCCGAGCCCUGGCUGCAAGUUCAGGGACUCUCCGCCCUCCACCUUCCCACCCAGCCUGUCCUGCUGUCCCUGGGAAAAUGAUGUUGGCCCCAGGUUCCAUUCCCAGACUGGCCUGGGCAGGCCAGAGCGGUCAUCAAGUUGGAACUCAGGGGCCUGAGGUUGGUCCCAACAGAUCCAAGGGCAAAACCAAAAGCAAGCCAUUCUGUAAGGAUCUCACACAGAACCAGGUGUGUCUUCUGCAAAAUUAUGAUGCAUUUUCUUCCCAUACUCUGUUUAUUAGACGUGACUCUUUAAUCCAUCUCACAUCAAAGGGAAUCGAGUGGCUUUACCAUCAAUCUGUCAAGAAAUACUAGCUCUCCUUUGCAGGAUUGUGCCCAGUGUCAUAUGUUAAGUAGGCUCCCAUGUAUACAUUAGUACAGUUCAGUUUUAUUCCCUCAACACUGUGAGCUCAGAAG